rnacentral:misc_RNA from 1 species
UGGCACAUUAUCCUUUACAUCCCAUAAUCGUAAUGUACUGUCUGUAGAUGCUGAAGCAAGCUCAUUGUUAGACAAGAAUUUCACAUAUGAAACAGCUUUACGAUGUCCACUGAACACAUGGAGCGGAUGGCUGAUAUUUCUCAAGUCAUAGUAGUGAAUGUGGUGGUCUGCUGAACCAACCUGCAGAAAGGUCACAAGAAUUUCUACAUUUAGGCCGCAUAUAGCUUGUGCAUGCCAUUGGGUGAGGCCACAUAUUAUACUUUGAUAAUGACAACUGAUAAGCUAUCUACUGGAAAUUUUUGUCAUAUAUACAGCUGAUAAACAUACUUUCUCAUUCAAUAUAACAUUGAGUAUAAACUUCUAUCUAAGGGUCAGAUUUUAAACAAAACAUAACCCAAAACUGAUAUCUCGCUCCUUUAUCACUCAUACUAAGUCCAGGGAAAAUCCAAGAUAGGCAUUCCCAAACACCAAGAAAUCUUAAAAGUGGAUGUCAAGUAGCAGAACGUCUUGCUUCUAUGCCUAACAGUUAACCAGUGUUCAAAGCAUCAGAUUCAGACCAAAAUUUUGAAUUCUUUGGCGUAAUGGAUUUGCUCAGCAAUACUGGAGAAAAGAUUAAACUGGCCCCACAUUAAAAAGAGGGCAAGCCAGUGCCAUAGUUUCUGGAUAUGAGGCAGAGAGAAGUAU